rnacentral:rRNA from 1 species
GACGAACGCUGGCGGCGUGCCUAACACAUGCAAGUCGAACGGAGAUAUGAUUUCGGUUGUAUCUUAGUGGCGAACGGGUGAGUAACGCGUGAGCAACCUGACUCUUAGAGGGGGAUAACACCCGGAAACGAGUGCUAAUACCGCAUAAGACCACGACAUGGCAUCAUGACGAGGUCAAAGGAGCAAUCCGCUGAGAGAGGGGCUCGCGUCCCAUUAGAUAGAUGGCGGGGUAAUGGCCCACCAUGUCAGCGAUGGGUAGCCGAGCUGAGAGGCUGAUCGGCCACACUGGAACUGAGACACGGUCCAGACUCCUACGGGAGGCAGCAGUGGGGAAUAUUGGGCAAUGGGCGCAAGCCUGACCCAGCAACGCCGCGUGAGGGAUGAAGGCCUCGGUUGUAACGUCUUCUAGCAGGGAAGAAGCGAAAGUAGACGGUACCGUGCAGAAGAAGACACCGGCGUAACUACGUGCCAGCAGCCGC